rnacentral:rRNA from 1 species
CCUACGGGAGGCUGCAGUGGGGAAUAUUGGGCAAUGGGCGCAAGCCUGACCCAGCAACGCCGCGUGAAGGAAGAAGGCUUUCGGGUUGUAAACUUCUUUUGACAGGGAAGAGUAGAAGACGGUACCUGUCGAAUAAGCCACUGCUAACUACGGGCCAGCAGCCGCGGUAAUACGGAGGUGGCAGGCGUUGUCCGGAUUUACUGGGUGUAAAGGGCGUGUAGCCGGGUUGACAAGUCAGAUGUGAAAUCCUGCGGCUUAACCGCAGAACUGCAGUUGAAACUGUUGAUCUUGAGUACUGGAGAGGCAGACGGAAUGCCUGGUGUAGCGGUGAAAUGCGUAGAUAUUAGGAGGAACACCAGUGGCGAAGGCGGCAUGCUGGCCACCAACUGACGGUGAGGCGCGAAAGCGUGGGGAGCAAACAGGAUUAGAUACCCGGGUAGUC